GACGAACGCUGGCGGCGUGGAUUAGGCAUGCAAGUCGGACGGUAGGGCUUUAUCGUAAGAUAGAGUUUGAGAGUGGCGAACGGGUGAGUAACACGUAGGAAUCUACCCUUAAGACGGGGACAACCCAGGGAAACUUGGGCUAAUACCGGAUGAGAGUGCGAGAGAUUGCAUUUAAAAGGAUGGCGAAAGUUGUCGCUUAGGGAUGAGCCUGCGGUCUAUUAGUUAGUUGGUGAGGUAAGAGCUCACCAAGGCGAUGAUAGAUAGGCGGCCUUAACGGGUGGUCGCCCACACUGGGAUUGAGAUACGGCCCAGACUCCUACGGGAGGCAGCAGUCGAGAAUAGUCUACAAUGGCCGGAAGGCUGAUAGUGCGACGCCGCGUGAACGAGGGAGCCUCGGGUGUAAGGUUACUUUCUUAUACGAGCAGUGCUAUAUAUAUGGUAGUAGUAUAUAUAGAGGAGUAGUAGUAUAGGAAUAAAGACAACGGACUAACUACCGUACGCCACGCAGACCGG
rnacentral:rRNA from 1 species